rnacentral:lncRNA from 10 species
GCAGCACCCAGGCAGGGGUGCCUGAAGCCCCAGAGAGGGGUGUUACAGUGUGCUAAAUAGCUCUUUUAUCUCCACCAUCUGCAGCCUGAUGGACAGCGGCAUGUUGGCAGCUCAGGCGGCCCCUUUCUCCACUCUGGCCCGUGGCUCCUGGACCAGCUUGGCCCUGCUGCAGCUUCUGUUCUGUGGGGCAGCUGCCCUCCACCAGUGAGGGUAGAGGGCCAGCGUUACAGCCUUUGUGGGUGCCCACAUUUGGUGGGUCCUGAGCUCUUGUUCUGCAUCCAAGAAGAAUGAGGUCAUGCUGACAGUUGAAGGGUGAUGAGGAUGGAGAAUUUUAUUGACGAUGAAACAGCUCUCAGUGGAGAGGGAUUGAGAAGGUGGGGUUGUCUAUCUCAGUGUGGCUGAGUCUAGGGGGUUUUAUAGGCACAGGAUUGGGGAGGGGCGGGCUGUAGGUAGUAUUAGAAAAGGCAACAUUUGAUUGGUUAAAAAGCAUUAUUCAGAAAGAACCAAUCAGGAAAGGGUGGGCAAACAGGAACAGAAGUUCUCACCCUGGUUUGAGGGGUUUCAUCCCAAACCAGCAGUCCAGGCUGUUUUUGGCUUGAAGGUGGGGUUUCACUGGGGACCCACCCCCAUCUGCCUAGGAAAUUGUCUGCCUCCUGCCGCUUUCAAUUGUUUUACUCUACAUUGUUUUCUGAUGACUAAUGAUUUUGAGAACCUCUUCAUAUGCUUGUUACCAUUUGGGGGUUACUAUUUGUGAAUUGCUUUUUAAUAUCCUUUGCCAAUUUUUGAGAAUUUUUAGUGCUCUCUUUUUUUAGUUGGUUUGUGGGUGUUUAUAUAAAAUCUAGACAUUAAUUGCUUGUCAGUUUUGAUAUUGCAAAUAUCUCCUCUCAUUCUGCCAUCUGUAUACUGACUUCUUGCAUGAGAUCCAUGAUGUCUGUGGGCAGAAAUCUUAUAUUUUGGUGUAAUAAGAUUUAUCUUUUUUCCCUCUGCCUUAUAAUUUUGUGCAUUUGAAAAUUUAUUUGAUAAGUCCUCUCCCCACCCUGCUACAAAAAUAUACUCCCUUUUCUUUUGUUAACUUUAUAGUUAGAUAGAUUUAAGACCUAAAUGUGAAAGGUCCCUUUUGGUAUGUAGUGUUAGGCAGGAUGUUAGUCUCCAAAGAUAGCCCCCAAUGAACCAUGACUCCCAAUAUUCACACCCUGCAUAGUUCUCACCCAUGUUGAAUCUGGGAUGGCCCAGUAUGACCAGUCAAAUAUGGCAGAAAUGUCACCAUGUGACUUUGUUUUGAUACAGUGUCUUGCUCUGUCGCCCAGGCUGGAGUGCAGUGGUGCAAUCAUAGCUCAUUGCAGCCUUGACCUCCUGGGCUCAAGUGAUCCUCCUGCCUCAGCUCCCCCAGGUAGUCACCAUGCCUGGAUAAUGUUUUAAAUUUUUUACAGAGACAGGACAUUUCUAUGUUGCCAGGCUGGUCUCAAAUUCUUGGGCUCAAAUGUUGGGCCUUGGCCUCCCAAGUGUGGGAUUCCAGGUGUGAGCCACCACAUCCAGCUAUAACUUCUAAGACUAAGCCAAAGAAACUCUGGGAACUGUUAAUCAUUCUCCAGCCACGUGAGUGAGACUCUUGGAUGCUCAGACCUGCCAAACCUUCAGAUGACUUCAGCCCCAGGAGACAUCUGACUUCAAUCCCACGUGAGGCCCCAAGUGAGACCAGUCAACCCGUGGAAGCAUGAGAAAUCAUAAUUUUUGUUUUAAGCCACUCAGCAUGAUGAUUUGUUCUGCAGCAAUAGGAACAAAUGGCAGGAACAAAAUUUGGUGCCUGAAAGUGGAAUGUUGCUAUAAAAGCAACCUAAAAUGUGUAGCGUUAGGUUGAGAAUGGGUGGUGAGAGACGGUGGAAGGAAAGACUUAAGGACAGCAAGAAGUAUUCACCUUCCAUCCAGGAGGCAGAAAGCCUUGCUAUCAUACUUAACAAUGAGAAAAGACUGCAUGCACUACAAAGUCAUCACUUUUCUUGAGCUCACCAGGGAGGUGAGCUCACAGGGCAACCAAGUAUCCUGAAUUCCAAGGGGGCAGGUCCCUCCAAGGAGAGGCAGGAUGUGCAGUCUGGCUCACUUGGGCAGUGCUUGGAGGAAGGGGCAGCCUCCAUUAAAGUGGGUCAGCUGCCUCUGGGGCAGAGUGGGAAGCUCUCCCAUGAAGGACCUGCCCCGGAUAUAAGGCAGGGUCCACUGCACUGAAGCGGAUGGGUGGGAAGGCUGAGAAAGCUCCACAGCCCCGGGCAGCAGAGAGCCUACACUUACCUCCUCACCACAAACCUGGUAGUGGGCAGCCAGCCUGGUAGUCACCACCGGGAGAAGGGCAAGAGUAUGGAAAAUAUGAAGAAAGACACCUCCUUCCUGUGGGGCCACUGGGGAUAUGGCAAUUACUAUCACAAUGAGAGACCGCUGUACACCUCCAGAAUGACUGGAUAAAAGGCCACCUGACCCUACCAUGUGCUGAUGAGGAGGUGGCAUCGCUGGAACUCUCAUGCUUUGUUGGUGGACAUGAAAAAUGCUUCAGCCACUUUUUUUUUUUUUUUUAGUGCAGUUAAAUUUUACAUAUAUUUUGUGGUUAUUUGACUAGUGUCUGCUGUGUUAGCUUCUUAGGGCUGCCACAACAAAUUAUCACAAACUUGGUGGCUUAUUCUCUCACCAUCCUGGAGGCCAGAAGUCUGAAUGGAGGCGUCAGCAGGGCCAUGCUUCUCCCAAGGGCUCUAGGGAAAAGUCCUUCCUCACCUCUUCCAGCUGCCGGUAGCUCCUGGAGUUCCUUGGCUUGUGGCAGCAUCACUCCUAUCUCUGCCUCUGUCUUCACAUGGCCUCCUUCUCUGUGUCUCUACAUCUUUUUCUUCCAUGUCCAGAACCCAGGAGCACAUUCUUCACUGAAAUCAUUCUCUGCUGCAGCUUUUGGAAUCCGGUCACUCUUGAAAACACCAAAGGCCACUGGAGCCUACAGCUGCCCAUCAUGUCAAGAUCUGCUGGUAUCACGGUAGCACUCAGCAGUGGCAGCCCAUUGCUUCAGCUCCUGGAAGAACAAAAGGCCAUCUGCUGAGUCAGAGGUCCCACCAGAAGCCAAGUCAGCCACUUCUGAAAACCAUUUGGCAAUUUCAAUUUCUUAUGAAGUAGAACAGACACUUACCUAUGUAUCAGCAACCCCACUCCAAGAGAAAUGAAGACACGUCCACACAAAAGCCUGUGUGCUAAUGUUCAUGUUUGUGGCAGCUGUGCUUGAAAACAAUCCAGAUGUCCAUCAACAGGUGAAUGAAUACACAAUGUCGUAUGUCCAUAAACCGGAAUACUAAUCAGCAAUAUAAAGAAAUGAACUACUGACACCUUUGACUACAUGGGUGGAUAUCAAAAGCAUUAUGCUGGGAGUAACAGCACAGAAGACUAUGUGCUAUAUUAUUCUUUUUCUUUUUUGGUGGGGCGGGAGGGGGGAACAGAGUUUCUCUCUUGUUGCCCAGGCUGGAGUGCAAUGGCAUGAUCUCAGCUCACUGCAACCUCCCCAUCCUGGGUUCAAGUGAUUCUCCUGCCUCAGCCUCCUGAGUAGCUGGGAUUACAGGCAUGCGCCACCACGCCUGGCUAAUUUUUGUAUUUUUAGUAGAGACGGGGUUUUGCCAAGUUGGCCAGGCUGGUCUUAAGCUACUGACCUCAGGUGAUCCACCCACCUCGGCCUCCCAAAGUGCUGAGAUUACAGGCGCGAGCCACUGUGCCUGGCCUAUAUUAUUCUUUUUAUACGACAUUCUGAAAACCACAAAACUAGGUAUAGGGAGAGAAGAGAUUAGUGAUUGCAAGGGGCAGGAAGGGGUGGGGGGGAAGGAGUUGACUACAGAGGGGCACAAGGGAAAUUAAAACAUUCUGUGUAUCUUGAUUGUAGCGUGAUCACAUGACUAGAUGCCUUUGUCAAAAAGAUGCAUAUGUAAAUUAUAUCUCAAUAAACCUGACUUAAAAAACAAAGCCAAUCUACCAUGUUAAGUCUGCAGAUAAUUAUUACCACUGGGGAGUUAGUGCUAGAAAGAGACUAUGAAUGGGUUUCUGGUAGUACCCUGUGUCUUCAUCUGGCAAAGUUGGUCUUUGGGUGUAUACGUCUGUCAGUCUGCAAAAAUUCUUCAAGCUGAAUCCCUAUGAAUUAUGUACUGUUAUAUAUGUAAUAUUUCAAUAAAAAGUUUUUUAAAAGAC